rnacentral:rRNA from 1 species
GGAAUAUUGGACAAUGGAGGCAACUCUGAUCCAGCCAUCCCGCGUGCAGGAUGAAGGCCCUAUGGGUCGUAAACUGCUUUUGACAGGGAAGAACCCCGCCUUUUUAAAGGUGGCUGCCGGUACCUAUCGAAUAAGCACCGGCUAACUCCGUGCCAGCAGCCGCGGUAAUACGGAGGGUGCAAGCGUUAUCCGGAAUCACUGGGUUUAAAGGGUGCGUAGGCGGCGCAGUAAGUCAGGGGUGAAAGCCUCCCGCUCAACGGGAGAAAUGCCUUUGAUACUGUUGCGCUUGAAUCAGGUUGAGGGCAGCGGAAUGUGGCAUGUAGCGGUGAAAUGCAUAGAUAUGCCACAGAACACCGAUUGCGAAGGCAGCUGCCUGGGCCUGGAUUGACGCUGAGGCACGAAAGCGUGGGGAGCGAA